rnacentral:rRNA from 1 species
CGGGUGAGUAACGCGUGAGGAACCUGCCUCAAAGAGGGGGACAACAGUUGGAAACGACUGCUAAUACCGCAUAAGCCCACGGCUCGGCAUCGAGCAGAGGGAAAAGGAGUGAUCCGCUUUGAGAUGGCCUCGCGUCCGAUUAGCUGGUUGGUGAGGUAACGGCCCACCAAGGCGACGAUCGGUAGCCGGACUGAGAGGUUGAACGGUCACAUUGGGACUGAGACACGGCCCAG